CCAAACCGGUGCACUGCUGCCAGCUAGUACUGGUCAAAGGGCUGACUUGAUCAGCUGUAAAAAUCUGCAGAUCCAGGUUUUAUCUAGCGGGGUUCUGUCAGUUAGGGCUAGUUGUUGGCUCAUGAAAAAGGCAAAAGGUUCUUGAGCUAUGAGCAAGAACCAGACUGCGACAUGAAACGUCUGGAGGGAGGUCUUCCAGCGGUUCUAGAAGGAUGGACUUGGGGCUGUGAAAUCAUGCAGGCUUAGUUUCCUGCCUCGUUAUGUAUUAUGGUUCCAAAUGGGAUGGAGAUUUUGGUGCCACAUCACUAUGGUGUAGGGUCAUGUGUUCACAUCUUGGUCUAAAUUUAUAGGUGUAAUAUGUAAAAAACACAAGGGUAAAAGUAAAAGGGGAAAACACCAUAUUAAACCUGCAUUAUUGCCUGCUAUAUGUCGUUUAUGUGUCUGAAUUAGUGCUACUAGUUUGUGAGUCUGUUUCAAUUGGGCACAGAAAAUAAUGGAAUUGCGCCUAAAAAUUAGUUUUAUAUGGACUAUGCAGUUGGCUACUUGGAUGGGGGUAUUUUUGCAGGCAGCUUACCGUGAAGUGAAAGAUGAUGAUAUUAAUGUUGAUUAAAGGAUUGCGCUUGAUUGCUUUAAUUGAGACUUUUUUAUUGUUGUGCUUGUCCUUCGAAUAUUCUAUCUUAGCAUUAUUAAAACUUAUCAAGCGCUUAAUUAUUUUUAUUUUAUCCUACUCUUUGUUUUUACCAUAAUUAUAUUGCACAUACAUUCCUUUUAACCUGCUACUUGACAUUUUUCUGUUGCUCAGGCACCUGAGUGAGCCUGGAAUCACGUUCAGGUUUCUUGCAUAAUGCUUCUUAUACAUAAUUUAUUCAAAGAUAACGAACGUACAACACUGAUUAUGUCCUACUAUUGGAGGCCAUCUGAGAAAGUUCUAACUUUGUCAGUUUAAGGGUAUUUUAUGUAUGCAAACCUCUCCCCAUAUAGAAAGGGAAAUAAAUAUUACCAGUAUUCAGUAGUAUAAGUAGGUUGUAUGUGCAGUUAUUUAUAGAAAAAAUACACAGCCCAGCCUUGUAACGAACCUUGCAGUGGCAGCGUUGUUGCAGUGGGCAGAGUUUGCUGUGGCAAGGUGGCUGCGAGCCAUUCCCGAGUGCCGUGCCUCGUUUCCUUUCUGCCUUCCAGCACUGGAUGGGACGUGACGCAGGGGCUAUCAGAGGAAGUGCCUCCCUAGCCUUUUGGGCUGUCAGGCAGCUGGACAGCCCUCUGGAACAGGUAGGCACGCCACACUGAGAGAAGAUGAGCAGCCAGUCCCUGCGACUGGAGAUAGGCAAGUUACUGGAACUGGGUGAAGCCCCGCUCUUUCUGGAGCUAGCAGUAGUAGCGUUGGCUCCUCGCCAUAGCUAGAAUGCAGCAGGAGGAGGAAUGCGCAUCCGUCAUGCUGAGAGAGAACUGGUAAGAGCAGAAUGUGUUCUUGAACAGUAGUGUUCUCUGGAGAAGAGGUGAACAGGUGAUCCAGUCAGGUGUGGAAGUUUGGUUUAGAUCUGUCAUUUAGCUCUUCUGACUGAGUGAAGAAGUAUAACGUCAAAAAAUACCGCUGCUGGUAAGCAAGCAGUUUCACUGUGGUGCAGGGCUUUGUUUAAUUUUCUUUUACCUUCUUGCCAAGCCGAGCAAUAUUAUCACAAUGGAAAUUUGAAGGGUCUUCUGAAUGUUGCUUUUUCCUUGUUGCGCAGGAAAGGGCACAAACUUUCGAUAACAAAGUCUUGUUUGCCAUUUGCACCUGUUAACCAGAUGCAGCUUCCAAGUAGGCAUCUUGGUUUACGUCCCCUUUCUUUUAGUGCUUUCAUAAAAUGCUAGAUAACAAGCCUUCCUCCCUACAUAGCUGGUAAGUUAGAAUUAGGGUCUGUGAAGAGUAAAAAAUCUUUCAGUAACUUUAAGAGAACUUUGAUGGAACUCAAAUGGCUUGGAACUAAAGAAAACGGUUAACAUGUUUCCAUCCUUACCUAAUACCCUAAGUUAAAAUGUAAUAGUUGCAUACUCAAUUUUCUAAUUGGAUUGCUAAGUAAGAAAAUGUAUUAUUCAUGCUGAAAAACAUUAUCGAUACAGCUAUGUUCACAUUUUACCACAUCAUGAACAAAUAUCCCCAUUCAGGGAGGGGAGGAGCAAAGUAAUAUGACCUUGAGCAUUUGUACACAAAUAGGCAAAGAAGCCAAGUGGGAGAGUGUUCCAAGACCCUUUUUAGCUCUGUAAACCAAAAAACCACAACAGCACCCACCCCCAAAAAAACCCAAACCCCACACCACUCCCAAAACAAUCCUGAUAGAAAACUGGCAAAAAGGCGUAAAUAAUAUGUUGACAGAUGCAAACCUGCUUUCAUAUCUUGUAGCUACUUGAAAAUCUGUUACGUGUUAACAUCUACAGACAUGUAUCUUUUAUCACAGCGCUUGGGGAGCUGGCAUCAGGAGAAGGUCUUGGGUUUCUAAUGUGACUGUGGAAUUCCUGCCUUGUUUUGACUUGUCAACAAUAUGUGAAACUGGUGUUCUUUCACUAGUUGUAUAUCCAGGGUAAGAAUUGUGUCAACACCUCAGUUUCCACAUCACAGUGAGCAUGUUUAGCCCAGCAGUCUCCUUUCCAGGUUUAUAAAUGCUGUUCGUCCUUCCUGGCUGUGCUUCCAGUUUUGUUCCUUCCUUUUUAAUGCAUAAGGGUCCUACCUCAAUUUUAGGAAGAAGUUAAUGCAAUACCAGAAUAUUACAGUGUCAUACAGUGCCGUUAAAUAUCUCUUAAGAUGUGAAGAUACGAUAAUGAAAUUUGUCUUCUGAGUGAGUGUUUUACAGACAGUCACGCUGGUCAAGUAUUUCUCUAGAAUUUCAGCUCUGACUAAGUUUCUGUAGUGCUGUGAUUUAUUUCUUAGCUCAGUCAAAUUAGAGAGUACCAAAGGAUAUCUGUGGAUCAAUUAACCGGGAUGGAAAGAAGGAGUAAGUAUAUUCACUUAUGGUGAGAGCUGUAAAGUCCUCUUUCCAUUUUUGAUGCACCACAUAAAGAAUGUUUUCAGGAUAGCUAGCUCAUCGGUUCUUGCCGAGGAAAGAAAAAGCCAUAGGCAUGCAAGCUACUAAAAUAUUUCUGCUGAGAUUGUUCGAAACUUAUCUUCCUAGAGAAAGUAAUUGGAAAUACAAUUUUACAGUACUACUCUUGCAGUAAAAAUUGGUUUCAAGUGGAAUUUUGAUAGCAUGUUUCCUUUCUGUUCAAACAUGAACAAAAGACAAUGUAUCAGUUGAAAUAAAUUUUCUGUUCAGGACUACCUGUGGCACCCGAGCCAAGUUCCCCAUUAUGACACUCCAAGCGCUUUCUCCACAUACCUUUAAUAAAAGGAGCAACAGUAUUGUAAAAAGAAUAUACAGCAAGAAAUUGGAAAAUCAAACCAGUUGUUCCUAGGUAAUUGAGGUCUAACUUCAGAACUUGUUUCUGCAGUUGAGAUGCCAGUGAGAGGGGAAGAAGGUCUGCUUUGCUUCAGUGGCAGUUUUUCAUGCGUUCUUUCUGUUUUAAAGAGGUACUACAGUCACACUGUUCUUUAAGGAAGAACACGUAUCAUGUUAGAUAUUUGUGUCAAUCUUUUAAUAAUUUGUUAAACAGCAUUUUUAAGAAGUCAUAAAUUCUGUUCCUUAGAGGAGAGGCUGGCUCUUGGAGUCUUCCGGGCAUAUAAAGGAUUCAAAGGCAGGCAGACAGGCAGUAAGUCUGCAAAGCUGUACCUGUAGCUACAAGUGUUAAAAUGCAACAGAGCUGUCAGAUCAUUUGAAACCACGAUAGUGUUGAUCUGCGUGAGUUCCAGCAGUGCAAGUUCCAUUUUGUGUGCUUUUAACGAGCAGAUAUCGUCAGUGUUCUGUUACCAGUGCAGUAAGAUUAAUCACCAACAAUUGCAGAGUCCCACAUGUAAAUGAGAAACGGGCUCGCUGUGGUACAUGCACGUAGCUUGUAGUGACACAGCCCUGGAGCAGAAAUGUUGACUGUCUUUAUGGGACAGAACAGGAUUUCCCAAAGUUAAUAUUUCUAAAUUUGCGUUAACUGUAAGGACAUACACACUCAGGUAUUCCUACUCUGUGUAAGGUUUUAACUUGAAGCCUUUUUUUUUUUUUUUUAACUGCUGUAGACUUCGCUGUGAUUUAAGCUGGAGCUGUUCAGGAUCCAUAGUGUUUGUCAGACUGGUCUGUAUGCAGCCUUCUGUUUGACGUCCAAGCUGAACUGACAUCUAGCCCUCUGGGGGAACGCGGCUAUCGAUAGCCAGACUUAACCAUCUGCCGUCCUUUGUAAGCGCAAAGGCCUCCCGCAGAGUGUGUUGCAAGGGAGAGAGAUUUAAGGUAAAUACAAGUUCAGCUGCAGAGUCGGCAAGAAUGGGUGGGGUGUGCUCUCUAGGAGCCAGAAUUCUGAGUUCAUGUCAGAAUUUUGUUGUUAGACAAAAGGGAAGAUAACAGAAAGUGGAAUUUGAGGACAUGCUCUCACAUAAGAGCAAAGCACAGGGUUUGCAACAGGGUGCUUUUUAAAAAUGCAUGCUGUGGUUCAAACAGAAACCUGAGUAAUUCCAACUAGAUGAUCACAAUGAUUUUUUUUUUCUGUAUCAUUACACCAAGACAGACUCGGCAACUAAAAUUGUUGACAGGUAACUGCAGUGCAGGUGGCACGCAGUAAGGUGGCACUGGGAAAUGUUUACCUCUUCUGGGCGAAAAUCUGUACAUGCGUCAAAAGCCGUUGGAACAUGGUGUUACCAGUCCCGAGUACUCAAUCCCAGGACCAAAUCCCCAUCUGUUGUACCAAGGCAAAUUUUAUACAGCAGAAUAAAACUGUGCCAGUUUUUGGUGUCAGAUUUUGUAGAUGAUGCCAUAGCAACCUUUCAUUAAAAAAAGAAAAA